GGACGCGUAGCUCAGUUGGUAGAGCACACCCUUGGUAAGGGUGAGGUCAUCGGUUCAAUCCCGAUCGCGUCCU
rnacentral:tRNA from 1 species